UACGGAGGGUGCAAGCGUUAAUCGGAAUUACUGGGCGUAAAGCGUGCGCAGGCGGUUUGUUAAGUCUGCUGCGAAAUCCCCGAGCUCAACUUGGGAAUUGCAGUGGAUACUGGCAGGCUGGAGUAUGGUAGAGGAAGGUGGAAUUCCCGGUGUAGCAGUGAAAUGCGUAGAGAUCGGGAGGAACACCAGUGGCGAAGGCGGCCUUCUGGACCAAUACUGACGCUCAUGCACGAAAGCGUGGGGAGCAAACAGG
rnacentral:rRNA from 1 species